rnacentral:rRNA from 1 species
UAAGGAAUAUUGGUCAAUGGACGCAAGUCUGAACCAGCCAUGCCGCGUGAAGGAUUAAGGUCCUCUGGAUUGUAAACUUCUUUUAUCUGGGACGAAAAAGGCGAUUCUUCGUCACCUGACGGUACCAGAUGAAUAAGCACCGGCUAACUCCGUGCCAGCAGCCGCGGUAAUACGGAGGGUGCAAGCGUUAUCCGGAUUCACUGGGUUUAAAGGGUGCGUAGGCGGGCAGGUAAGUCAGUGGUGAAAUCCUGGGGCUUAAACUCCAGAACUGCCAUUGAUACUAUCUGUCUUGAAUAUUGUGGAGGUAAGCGGAAUAUGUCAUGUAGCGGUGAAAUGCUUAGAUAUGACAUAGAACACCUAUUGCGAAGGCAGCUUACUACGCAUAUAUUGACGCUGAGGCACGAAAGCGUGGGGAUCAAACGGGAUUAGAUACCCUGGUAGUCCACGCCCUAAACGACGGAUACUCGACAUACGCGAUACACUGUGUGUGUCUGAGCGAAAGCAUUAAGUAUCCCCACCUGGGAAGUACGACCGCAAGGUUGAAACUCAAAUGAAUGACGGGGUCAUAGCUGUUUCCUG